GAUGAAGAACGUAGCGAAAUGCGAUAAGUAAUGUGAAUUGCAGAAUUCAGUGAAUCAUCGAAUCUUUGAACGCACAUUGCGCCCGCCAGCAUUCUGGCGGGCAUGCCUGUUCGAGCGUCAUUUCAACCCUCGAGCCCCCCCGGGGGCCUCGGUGUUGGGGGACGGCACACCAGCCGCCCCCGAAAUGCAGUGGCGACCCCGCCGCAGCCUCCCCUGCGUAGUAGCACACACCUCGCACCGGAGCGCGGAGGCGGUCACGCCGUAAAACGCCCAACUUUCUUACAGUUGACCUCGGAUCAGGUAGGAAUACCCGCUGAACUUAAGCAUAUCAAUAAGCGGAGGA
rnacentral:misc_RNA from 1 species